GAUUUUCAAGAGUGACUGUUGAAUUGAAAGUAGAAUCUGAUGUGAUUAUUGGAGAACAUGAUUCUGAAGUACAGUGCAGCAGUUCUUAAAAGUCUACUCUUCUGAAAGAUGCUCCCAGGGAAUUCUUGUUAAAGGGAAGAAGUACUUCUGUGUCUGCAUCUGGCGAAGACUGCCCCAAAGUAGAUGAAUAACUAAACGACGCUGGCCAGAGAUUAUGUAUCCUGAUGCUCACAGGGCUUAUAGAUUAAGAAAAAAACAAAAAGUUCAAAGCCAUCAUUAUGAGCAUUUUCACUCAUGGCAAAACAGGAUAUGACCUACAAAAAAGAGUAUUUGGAUAAUUUGCUACGUUACAGCCUUCAGAAUAGCUGGAAGUCUGAUCCAUUAUUUCGAACAGACUGGCCACCAGAUACAGACGUGCUGCUUCUUAGUAUGUGUUGGACACUGGAAUUCAUGAAGAUAAUGCAUAAAGUUUGUAUAUUCAGCACUCGGGGAAGUGACAACACUAUGGUCCAAGAGUGCAUCACAUACCAGUCCGGAGGCACAGAACUCUUAUGGCAUCUGGAUUUGUUUGAAUCAUUACCCCUGGCUGGUGCACUAAGGAUAGAACCUCUUCCAAACUCUGGGAAGGCUCAAAUAUUUGGUUACAGCUGCUCAUUGGCACAGUUGCAUCUGCGAGGCCAUCACCUGGUUUUCAGGAACUGCAAAAGUAUGAAGUUUUGUGUGGACUACGAGGAAAGCAGCAGCGUUCUUUGGAAGAUCUUCAUUCUUCUGAUCAACUGGAAAAAGGAAGGCAUGUUCAGUAAGUACACAAGGGCAGAUUUGCCAGUGUCUAAGCCCACAAAGCUUCUACCAUGGAGAGUCCAGCUGUGAAAUGGCAGAUCAAGAACAUGAAAACUGCCAAAGUUUGGGAGUCUGAGGCUGCAAUUUCCUGUAGUAGGGAGGCUUGUGAUCCCCCAGAGUCUCAAGUGUCCAGUGCUGUCACAGAGCAGUGGAAAUAAAGGAGUACAAGAUUCAUGGUCGUCCUACUAGGAAAACCACUAUUCCCCAAAAGAAAAGCUUCAGAAAUUAUUACGAAGCAAUCGAAGGGCAUAUUCUGAACAAGAUGGUAAAGACUGUAACUUGUGCUGUACACGAAGAGCAUGAUGGUGAUGAAGACAACUAAACUGUCUCGAGGCACGGAUGUUUACUCUGUUCUCUACAGAUGUCCAGUGACAGUUCCAGCUUUUAACAUAA